UGGGGAAUAUUGGACAAUGGGCGCAAGCCUGAUCCAGCCAUGCCGCGUGAGUGAUGAAGGCCCUAGGGUUGUAAAGCUCUUUCACCGGUGAAGAUAAUGACGGUAACCGGAGAAGAAGCCCCGGCUAACUUCGUGCCAGCAGCCGCGGUAAUACGAAGGGGGCUAGCGUUAUUCGGAUUUACUGGGCGUAAAGCGCACGUAGGCGGACUUUUAAGUCAGGGGUGAAAUCCCGGGGCUCAACCCCGGAACUGCCUUUGAUACUGGAAGUCUUGAGUAUGGUAGAGGUGAGUGGAAUUCCGAGUGUAGAGGUGAAAUUCAUAGAUAUUCGGGGGAACACCAGUGGCGAAGGCGGCUCACUGGACCAUUACUGACGCUGAGGUGCGAAAGCGUGGGGAGCAAACAGG
rnacentral:rRNA from 1 species